rnacentral:lncRNA from 1 species
ACAAGUGUCUUGCAUAGUGCAUGCAUGUAAGAUUGAAUGCUUAAUUGAUGAGAAGAAUGGUGUGUUCUCAUCUGAGUUUGCAAAGUCUCCAAAGUGCCCACUGCAGCACCCUAAGCACCUGAUGGUACUGACUGCCCUAGGCCAGAUCUAAAAAGCCAGGAAAUCCUGCCAGACAGACAGUCUUCUUUGUGGCUCCACCUUUACUUCCACUCAGACAACACUUCGGAUUUUAAAUACAAAGGACAGCACC